rnacentral:rRNA from 1 species
GACGUAGGGCGCAAGCGUUAUCCGGAAUUAUUGGGCGUAAAGAGCUCGUAGGUGGUUUGUCGCGUUGUCCGUGAAAACUCACAGCUCAACUGUGGGCGUGCGGGCGAUACGGGCAGACUGGAGUACUGCAGGGGAGACUGGAAUUCCUGGUGUAGCGGUGGAAUGCGCAGAUAUCAGGAGGAACACCGGUGGCGAAGGCGGCAUUCUGGACCAUAACUGACACUGAGAGACGAGAGCCAGGGGAGCAAACGGG